rnacentral:rRNA from 1 species
UACAGAGGGUGCAAACGUUGUUCGGAAUUACUGGGCGUAAAGCGCGUGUAGGCGGCUAUGCAAGUCGGGCGUGAAAUCCCACGGCUCAACCGUGGAAGUGCACCCGAAACUGCGUAGCUAGAGUCCUGGAGAGGAAGGUGGAAUGCUUGGUGUGGAGGUGAAAUUCGUAGAUAUCAAGCGGAACACCGGUGGCGAAGGCGGCCUUCUGGACAGUGACUGACGCUGAGACGCGAAAGCGUGGGGAGCAAACAGG